rnacentral:rRNA from 1 species
GCCUAGGGUCGGAUUAGCUAGUUGGUGAGGUAAAGGCUCACCAAGGCGACGAUCCGUAACUGGUCUGAGAGGAUGAUCAGUCACACUGGAACUGAGACACGGUCCAGACUCCUACGGGAGGCAGCAGUGGGGAAUAUUGGACAAUGGGCGAAAGCCUGAUCCAGCCAUGCCGCGUGUGUGAAGAAGGUCUUCGGAUUGUAAAGCACUUUAAGUUGGGAGGAAGGGCAGUAAGUUAAUACCUUGCUGUUUUGACGUUACCAACAGAAUAAGCACCGGCUAACUUCGUGCCAGCAGCCGCGGUAAUACGAAGGGUGCAAGCGUUAAUCGGAAUUACUGGGCGUAAAGCGCGCGUAGGUGGUUCGUUAAGUUGGAUGUGAAAGCCCCGGGCUCAACCUGGGAACUGCAUCCAAAACUGGCGAGCUAGAGUAUGGCAGAGGGUGGUGGAAUUUCCUGUGUAGCGGUGAAAUGCGUAGAUAUAGGAAGGAACACCAGUGGCGA